rnacentral:rRNA from 1 species
ACGAACGCUGGCGGCGUGCUUAACACAUGCAAGUCGAACGAUGAAGCCUUUCGGGGUGGAUUAGUGGCGAACGGGUGAGUAACACGUGGGCAAUCUGCCCUUCACUCUGGGACAAGCCCUGGAAACGGGGUCUAAUACCGGAUAACACUCUGUCCCGCAUGGGACGGGGUUGAAAGCUCCGGCGGUGAAGGAUGAGCCCGCGGCCUAUCAGCUUGUUGGUGGGGUAAUGGCCUACCAAGGCGACGACGGGUAGCCGGCCUGAGAGGGCGACCGGCCACACUGGGACUGAGACACGGCCCAGACUCCUACGGGAGGCAGCAGUGGGGAAUAUUGCACAAUGGGCGAAAGCCUGAUGCAGCGACGCCGCGUGAGGGAUGACGGCCUUCGGGUUGUAAACCUCUUUCAGCAGGGAAGAAGCGAAAGUGACGGUACCUGCAGAAGAAGCGCCGGCUAACUACGUGCCAGCAGCCGCGGUAAUACGUAGGGCGCAAGCGUUGUCCGGAAUUAUUGGGCGUAAAGAGCUCGUAGGCGGCUUGUCACGUCGGAUGUGAAAGCCCGGGGCUUAACCCCGGGUCUGCAUUCGAUACGGGCUAGCUAGAGUGUGGUAGGGGAGAUCGGAAUUCCUGGUGUAGCGGUGAAAUGCGCAGAUAUCAGGAGGAACACCGGUGGCGAAGGCGGAUCUCUGGGCCAUUACUGACGCUGAGGAGCGAAAGCGUGGGGAGCGAACAGGAUUAGAUACCCUGGUAGUCCACGCCGUAAACGUUGGGAACUAGGUG